rnacentral:rRNA from 5 species
ACAACGGAUCUCUUGGCUCUCGCAUCGAUGAAGAACGCAGCGAAAUGCGAUACGUAAUGUGAAUUGCAGAAUUCAGUGAAUCAUCGAAUCUUUGAACGCACCUUGCGCCCUUUGGCAUUCCGAGGGGCACACCCGUUUGAGUGUCGUGA